rnacentral:misc_RNA from 1 species
UCUCCGUUGGUGAACCAGCGGAGGGAUCAUUAUCGAGUUUAUAACUUCCAAACCCUAUGUGAACUUACCACUUGUUGCUUCGGCGCGCGCUUCGGUGCCGCCGAGGACACUUAAACUCUUUGUUUUUAUAAGCAUUUCUGAGUGGCCGAAAGGCAAAAUACAGAUGAAUCAAAACUUUCAACAACGGAUCUCUUGGUUCUGGCAUCGUGAAGAACGCAGC